rnacentral:lncRNA from 1 species
CCCGAAGUAAGUAACUGCUGAACGGACCAGCUGACAGAUGGGAAAUCCUUGCACGGAGCUAUGACAAGGGGAAGUCUGUGGGAAAAGGUUACAAUUAGCUCAGGGGAGAAAGAUAUUAUUUGCUGGACCUCAUCGAAUUCCAAAACAAGUGGUGAAUAUGUGACAAGACGAAAUUCUGGCAAGAGGAAGGGCGCUCCUGACAGAUGUGUGUUCCUGCAGCCCCCUGCAUAUGUGGAGAGCCCCAAGGGCGAGGCUUCCGCUAGAACUGUCAGGAAGAGUCAACAAGAACCCAAAGAAAUGUCCUCAUCCCAGAACCCAGAGGUGAAGCCAGAAAGAUCACUUGACUGCUGUGUGGCUUAUGAAUCCUGGACACAGACAUCUGUUUGAAGAGUCCAAGAGAUGUGAGGCAGCAAAAGGGAGGCUCUUACAAGCCACAGGGAGAAGCUGCAGGAGAAAAUAAGUCUGAUCUUGGACUCUAAGCCUCCAGCACGGUGAGAAAAUUAACUUCUGUUGUUUAAG